AUUGAACGCUGGCGGCAUGCCUUACACAUGCAAGUCGAACGGCAGCACGGACUUCGGUCUGGUGGCGAGUGGCGAACGGGUGAGUAAUGCAUCGGAACGUACCAUUGAGUGGGGGAUAACGUAGCGAAAGUUACGCUAAUACCGCAUAUUCUCUCAGGAGGAAAGCAGGGGAUCGUAAGAACUUGUGCUCUUUGAGCGGCCGGUGUCGGAUUAGCUAGUUGGUGGGGUAAAGGCCCACCAAGGCUACGAUCCGUAGCGGGUAUGCGAGGAUGAUCCGCCACACUGGGACUGAGACACGACCCAGACUCCUACUGGAGACAGCAGUGGGAAAUGUUGGACAAUGGGGGCAACCCUGAUCCAGCCAUGCCGCGUGAGUGAAGAAGGCCUUCGGGUUGUAAAGCGCUUUCAACCGGAAAGAAAACGCAUGGGUUAAUACCCUGUGUGGAUGACGGUACCGGAAUAAGAAGCACCGGCUAACUACGUGCCAGCAGCCGCCGUAA
rnacentral:rRNA from 1 species